rnacentral:rRNA from 1 species
CACGUAGGGCGCAAGCGUUGUCCGGAAUUAUUGGGCGUAAAGAGCUCGUAGGCGGUCUGCCACGUCCGCUGUGAAAACCAGGGGCUUAACCCCUGGCUUGCAGUGGAUACGGGCAGACUAGAGGUAGGUAGGGGAGAAUGGAAUUCCCGGUGUAGCGGUGAAAUGCGCAGAUAUCGGGAGGAACACCGGUGGCGAAGGCGGUUCUCUGGGCCUUACCUGACGCUGAGGAGCGAAAGCGUGGGGAG